CAGAUGGCAUUUAACUCCGCGCUUACUGCCACUAGGCAGCUGGUGGAGCGCACAAUUGGUGUCCUUAAAGGGCGGUUUCGUGUGCUCCACCGCACUGGUGGCGACAUCAUGUAUUCGCCGGAGAUGGCAAGUAAAAUAGUGGUCCUGUGCGCAAUACUACAUAAUAUCGCGGUAAGGAGUAGUGUAGAGCUUCCUCAGGCAGAGGAAUUGCCUGAUGAGGAGCCAGGGGUUGUUCGACACUUCGGUGGUGGGAGUGUUACACGGAGGGGGAGCCAAGUGAGGGCAAGGAUUGUUGCCGAAUAUUUCAGCUGAAUGAUCACACAAACUGUGGACAACAACAACGGCAGACCUCUCCGCCCCCUUCCCCUUCCCAGUCCCCCUCCCCUUCUCACUCCCCCUCCCCUUCUCACUCCCCCUCCCCUUCCCA